CUCUUUCUCGAUUCAGUGGAUGGUGGUGCAUGGCCGUUCUUAGUUGGUGGAGUGAUCUGUCUGGUUAAUUCCGAUAACGAACGAGACUCUCCCCUGCUAACUAGUCGGUUGGAUCUUGAUCAGUGGGUUGAGUGCCGAGUAACUCUCGCUGUGCGUGUUGUGCGUCGCGUUCCUCACGGUUCGUUGCGUGCUCAUGUGUGGCGUUGGAUGCCUUGNAUCACACUGCACCCCAAGUCCGCCGCUUUGCUAUAACUCUUCUUAGAGGGAUUCACGGCACUGAAGCCGUAAGAGACUGAGAGCAAUAACAGGUCUGUGAUGCCCUUAGAUGCUCUGGGCCGCACGCGCGCUACAAUGCCGGGCACAGCAGGUGUUUCUCCUGCUCCGACAGGAGCGGGUAACCCUCUGAAAGCCAGUGUUCUUGCAAGUGCUUCCUCCCUCGUGGAGUUGCACAGAGGCGUGCUUGGGCCUGGGACUUGCAAUUCUUUCCCACCAACGAGGAAUGCCUAGUAGCGGCGGGUCACUGAGCCCGCUGUGACUCAGUCCCUGCCCUUUGUACACACCGCCCGUCGCUACUACCGAUUGGGUGUACCAGUGAGAGCCUUGGACUGGCGUCCGUUGUUGCUCGCAAGAGUGACAAGCGGGUCCGACGGAAAGAGGUCCG
rnacentral:rRNA from 1 species